rnacentral:rRNA from 1 species
AGCCCUAUGUUAUUAUUUAGGGUUGUCCCUGCUCAAUGGUUUACUAAAUAGCCGCAGUACCUUGACUGUGCAAAGGUAGCAUAAUCAAUUGGCUUAUAAUUGAAGUCUAGCAUGAAAGGGUUUUCGGAAUUUGACUGUCUUAAAAAUAAUGAUUAGAAUUUACUAAAUAAGUGAAAAUUCUUAUAUAUAGAAACUAGACGAGAAGACCCUAGAAAUUUUUUUAAAAAUUUAAGAAAAUUAUUUUGUUGGGG